GUGAAGGAAGAGGGGUAAAAGAGUGAGCCAUUUGGUCGCGGUAACUUUUUCCAGUCGUGACUAGCUCGCCAACUGACAAAAUGCCGAGGUUCUCAUGAAUAAACAUUGACAACCGAUAGAUUUCCAAAUUCUAUACCGGCUGUCGGUUGAGGCUGUCGGUUCAGUUAGCAUUGACCACCUAAUAUUUUUGUAUUCCUAAUCCGACUUUUGACAGAAAAACAAACAUUUAGCAGAUAUGGUCAAUAAGAUUUUGCCUUAGGUACGUCUAAAACCGGUUCUCCCAGUGCUGUCUCGUUUUUUUUGUUUUCCUCACUGUAUUUUUAUGCCCGAUUUAGGAUCACGGAUUUCGACUACACAGCCGAACAUAAUCGGCACAAUUCUCAGAUGGACUACAGAUAACACAGUUGUCAUUUGGACUCUGGUAGUACACUUCAGAUUCAUCAUAUCUUUCCUGGUUCACCUCCUCCUUCCCCCUCUCACCCUUGUGGUUUGACACAAGCCAACAAUGGCAGACCCGUCUGGGCUGGGCCCUAAUGGGGCCGGAGUGGGGUCAGAAGCAGACAUGGGUGAAGUGGACGCCUGCAGCCUGGAGAUUGAGAGGAAGUAUGAAGUCAUCCCUGCUGUCAUCUGCUCCAUGUGCUGCCUGUUUGGUAUCAUCUACUGUUUCUUCGGGUACCGCUGUUUCAAGGCAGUAAUGUUCCUGUCAGGCCUGAUGUUUGGCUCCGUCAUAAUCUUCCUGCUGUGCCACAAGGAGCGGGUGCUGGACACCCAGCUGAGUGUGGAAGCGAGCGCAGGCAUCGGCCUGGGCAUCGGCCUGCUGUGCGGCCUGGUCACCAUGCUAGUGAGGAGUGUGGGCCUGUUCAUGACCGGCCUGCUGCUGGGCCUCUUACUGGCCCUUGCUGCCUUGCUGGUGGCCCACCAAUUCUACACCCCCACCACAGUGUGGGUGCCCCUGGGCACGCUGCUGGGAGCGGGCAUGCUGUUUGCUGUGCUGACAUUACAGUGGCAGAGGCUUUUCACCGUGCUCUCUACGUCUGUGUUCGGGGCGGCCAUCAUGACAGUGUGUGCUGACUACUUUGUGGAAAUGCUAGCUCUAGCUACACAUGUCUAUGAAUGUCUGCGUUUGGCACCAGCUCCGCCUCUCUGCUGGUACAGCUGGGUCAUCUUGGGCAUUUGGCCGGCGCUCAGCUUCAUGGGAGUUCUGGUGCAGUGGAAGCUGACGGCUGAGGGCUUCUCACACACUGAAGUCAUCAUCAGCAGGAGGCAAAAAAGAGUCCAGUUAAUGCGAAUCAGGCAGAAGGAUGCCAAGAAGCGUCAGCAGGGUGGGGGGCAGGAGGGCACGUACCGCCGCAAGCCCACUCCAGUGAAACGCUACGCUGGAGACCUACUGGCACCUAGCUACCUGCAGAGUCUCAGGGAUCGACAGAUGGGAACAGGCACUUCCCUCAGCAGCAUGGGAACAGCAAACCACACCAUGAUUGAUUUUGACUAUGAGACAGGCUCCACAGUGCCCCUCACUGCUACAACUCCUGUGAUAAGGGUCUGAGGGAGGCUGAGACACAGAGCCCUUUUCUCUCCCCCACCAACUUUGAUCUGUUGAAUCUCUAGACAUUAUUGCAGAGGACUCUGCACUUCCAGUGACCAUCCAUAUUAGACAAUGUGAGAUUCAAUAAAAUCCAAGACCCCUCUACCGAGCUGAAGAAGAGCCUUUUACAGUAUUUGGUCAGCCAUAACAUCAAUGCAGUUUACCUCCAGUGUAUGUUAUCAAUCUGUCAUGCUGGAUGCUUGGAGGAGUGCAGACUGAAGUGCAUCUAGAUCUUUUUUCCUGUGUGCUGUUCCUUCAGAGGUGGUGUUGGUGAAAGGAGGUCUCCUCCUGUUUGAUGUGUGCUGUAACCACUUUGUCAAUAGACUGGCCUCUCCCUGUUUUGUGUCUGCCCUGGCCGGUGGCAGCUCCAUGUGAAAAGUCUAAAGGUCAGUUCUGCCAGAGAUCAGGAGGGGGGAAUUCAAACAGCCCAUUUGGCUUUCUUGCACGCAAGUCAGAAGCGGCAUUAAAAGAGAAUAAGAAAUCGUUUUUGAGCCAUCAGCUUUCUCUUGUUCCAUAAUCAUUGAAUAAUGUAGUCAAAAUUUUUUAAUGGAUAUGGCCAUCAAAAGCAAUAGAGCUACCCUCUCACAGGACAUCAAUGAUUGCAAUCUGAGUAAUCUGUGCAUCAAAGACUUGAAUGACCUUGUGGCGUAUGCAUUCUGUCAACAGUUGUUGACGCCUGUCCUGCACAACAGUUGAAGCUCCCCCAGUGAGUGAAGUGGGAUUAAACUAAGGAAAGGACAACCGUGCAUACAUUUCUCUGCUCUUUGUUGCUCGAGUUGCUGUGUGUGUGCGUGUGUGUGUGUGUGUGUGUGUGUGUGUGUGUGUGUUCAUGGUAUAUGUGUUGAAACAAUUAUCUGUGUUGGAUGUGCCUUUUAUUAUGAACACACAUAAUGACCAAUAGUAUGUGGACACAGCUUAGUAUACAAACACCUGCUUGUUGAACCUCUCAUUCCAAAAUCAUGGGCAUUAAUAUGGAGUUGGUUUCCACUUUAGUUUUUAUAACUGCCUUCACUUUUCAGGGAAGGCUUUCCAAUAGAUGUUGUAACAUUGAUGCAGGAUUUUCUUCCAUUCAGCCACAAGGGCAUUAGGGAUGUUGGGCACAUUAAGGACAUUAGACCUGGCUUGAAGAUGCUGAUAAAAUGUAUCCCAAUAGUAUACAUUAAUGGUGUUUUGAUCAGGGAUCUGUGCAGGUAAUUUAAGUUUUCCUAUACCAAACUUAAUUUGUGCAUGGGGGCAUUAUCAAGCCAAAACAAGAAAGUGCCUUUCCCAAAAAGUUUGAAGCACAGAAUUGUCUGGUAUGACAUUUUGAAGCUUUAGCAUCAUAUUUCCACCAGUAGAAAUAAGUGCUCUAGUCCAAACCCAUGAAAACAGACGCUAUUGUUAAUUGGCUUGAUAAUGCCCUCCAUGCACAAAGUGAGGUCCAUACAGAAGUGUUUUGUCAAGUUUGAUGAAGAAAAACGUCCCUGGCCACCACAGAUUCCUGACGUAUCCAUGGUAAUGCCCAUGGUUUUGAAAUGCCUCACAAGCUCAUUUAGGUGUGAUUGUCAGGUGUCACAUACUUUUAGCCAGUGUACAACUGCAUUUCAGGAUUGUUUUGGAUGUCUGAUUCAGAUCUAGUGUGCUAUGAUGAGAGACUUGAAUACAACAGACACCCUACUAAUACACAAAGCCAUUCAGUGCCUAAAUACAAUGAGGUGACAUGUUCUGUAGCAUUAAAUAAAGUUAGCUUUCAUCAUAAAUCUACUUGAUGGCUUCUGGCCCAUUUUGCUGGUGGAACAUAAUAAACCUUUUGGGACAUGUUCAUGUAAUACUAUUACUCUUGGUUGUUUCAAACAAAUAUUUCUGUGAAGUUGUGUUUUUUUAUUAGUUAAUGGGCUAUUUCUAUUGGUGGAGUGCCCGUAUGCAGUUAUUUAUACAAUUAACAACAUGGAAGAGCCAUCAAAUUAACUAGAGAACAGUUGCCAUAAUCUCAUAAGUUUCUUUUUGACUGAUAGAAUCUUACAGAGGCAGUACCCUCUUGUAUUCUCAAUAUGUAAAUACAUGUUGACAGGACAUUGAAAAGAUAAACAAUUAAAUCAGUUUAAAACGAAUAAAAGAAAUGUUGAAAAAGCUCUUG